rnacentral:rRNA from 1 species
UACGAAGGGGCGAGCGUUGUUCGGAAUCACUGGGCGUAAAGGGCGCGUAGGCGGCCCUCCUAGUCGCGUGUGAAAGCCCCGGGCUCAACCUGGGAACGGCGCGCGAAACGGGGGGGCUGGAGUUCGGGAGAGGAGCGUGGAAUUCCCAGUGUAGAGGUGAAAUUCGUAGAUAUUGGGAAGAACACCGGUGGCGAAGGCGGCGCUCGUGGGACCGAGA